rnacentral:rRNA from 1 species
AUUGAACGCUGGCGGCAGGCUUAACACAUGCAAGUCGAACGAGUGGCGGACGGGUGAGUAAUGCUUGGGAAUCUAGCUUAUGGAGGGGGAUAACUACUGGAAACUGUAGCUAAUACCGCCUACCAUAGGAUGAGCCCAAGUGGGAUUAGGUAGUUGGUGGGGUAACGGCGCACCAAGCCGACGAUCUCUAGCUGGUCUGAGAGGAUGACCAGCAACACUGGGACUGAGAAAGGGCCCAGACUCUUACGGUAGGCAGCAGUGGGGAAUAUUGCGAAAUGGGGGCACGCUGACGCAGCCAUGCCGCGUGAAUGAAGAAGGCCUUCGGAUUGUAAAGUUCUUUCGGUAGCGAGGCGUUAACUACAGAAGAAGCACCGGCUAACUCCGUGCCAGCAGCCGCGGUAAUAC